rnacentral:rRNA from 1 species
GGAGAAAAGCAGGGGAUCGCAAGACCUUGCGUUUUUGGAGCGGCCGGUGUCUGAUUAGCUUGUUGGUGAGGUAAAAGCUUACCAAGGCUUCGAUCAGUAGCUGGUCUGAGAGGACGACCAGCCACACUGGGACUGAGACACGGCCCAGACUCCUACGGGAGGCAGCAGUGGGGAAUUUUGGACAAUGGGGGCAACCCUGAUCCAGCCAUGCCGCGUGAGUGAAGAAGGCCUUCGGGUUGUAAAGCUCUUUCAGCCGGAACGAAACGGUUACGGUUAAUACCCGUGACUACUGACGGUACCGGAAGAAGAAGCACCGGCUAACUACGUGCCAGCAGCCGCGGUAAUACGUAGGGUGCGAGCGUUAAUCGGAAUUACUGGGCGUAAAGCGUGCGCAGGUGGUUUUGUAAGUCAGAUGUGAAAUCCCCGGGCUUAACCUGGGAACUGCGUUUGAAACUACAAGGCUAGAGUGUGGCAGAGGGGGGUGGAAUUCCGCGUGUAGCAGUGAAAUGCGUAGAGAUGUGGAGGAACACCGAUGGCGAAGGCAGCCCCCUGGGUCAACACUGACGCUCARGCACGAAAGCAUGGGGAGCAAACAGGAUUAGAUACCCUGGUAGUCCAUGCCCUAAACGAUGUCAACUAGUUGUCGGGCCUUAACGGGCUUGGUAACGUAGCUAACGCGUGAAGUUGACCGCCUGGGGAGUACGAUCGCAAGAUUAAAACUCAAAGGAAUUGACGGGGACCCGCACAAGCGGUGGAUUAUGUGGAUUAAUUCGAUGCAACGCGAAAAACCUUACCUACCCUUGACAUGUAUCGAAGCUCGCAGAGAAGUGAGUGUGCCCGAAAGGGAACGAUAACACAGGUGCUGCAUGGCCGUCGUCAGCUCGUGUCGUGAGAUGUUGGGUUAAGUCCCGCAACGAGCGCAACCCUUGUCAUUAAUUGCCAUCAUUUAGUUGGGCACUUUAAUGAGACUGCCGGUGACAAACCGGAGGAAGGUGGGGAUGACGUCAAGUCCCCAUGGCCCUUAUGGGUAGGGCUUCACACGUAAUACAAUGGCG